rfam:Schistosoma mansoni, Puerto Rico, WGS project CABG01000000 data, contig: 0171
AUCCAGCUGAAGUGUCCUGAUUAGGACGAAACGCGCGACCUGGAU